GACGAACGCUGGCGGCGUGCUUAACACAUGCAAGUCGAACGGAAAGGCCUCUUUCGGGGGGUACUCGAGUGGCGAACGGGUGAGUAACACGUGAGUAACCUGCCCUUGACUUUGGGAUAACUUCAGUAAACUGGGGCUAAUACCGGAUAGGAGCUCCUGCUGCAUGGUGGGGGUUGGAAAGUUUCGGCGGUUGGGGAUGGACUCGCGGCUUAUCAGCUUGUUGGUGGGGUAGUGGCUUACCAAGGCUUUGACGGGUAGCCGGCCUGAGAGGGUGACCGGCCACAUUGGGACUGAGAUACGGCCCAGACUCCUACGGGAGGCAGCAGGGGGGAAUAUUGCACAAUGGGUGGAAGCCUGAUGCAGCAACGCCGUGGGCGGGAGGACGGCCUUCGGGUUGUAAACCGCUUUCGCUCAUGACGAAGCUUUGUGUGACGGUAGUGGGUAAAGAAGCACCGGCUAACUACGUG
rnacentral:rRNA from 1 species